rnacentral:rRNA from 1 species
AGAGUUUGAUCCUGGCUCAGGAUGAACGCUAGCUACAGGCUUAACACAUGCAAGUCGUGGGGCAGCGGAUGCUUAGCUUGCUAAGUAUGCCGGCGACCGGCGCACGGGUGAGUAACGCGUACCGAACCUGCCCAUCACACAGGGAUAGGCUUGCGAAAGCAAGAUUAAUACCUGAUGGUCUCAGUUGUAUGCAUGUAUGAUUGAGUAAAGCCUUCGGGCGGUGAUGGAUGGCGGUGCGUCCCAUUAGGAAGUUGGCGGGGUAACGGCCCACCAAUCCUUCGAUGGGUAGGGGUUCUGAGAGGAAGGUCCCCCACAUUGGAACUGAGAUACGGUCCAAACUCCUACGGGAGGCAGCAGUGAGGAAUAUUGGUCAAUGGGCGAGAGCCUGAACCAGCCAAGUAGCGUGCAGGAUGACGGCCCUAUGGGUUGUAAACUGCUUUUGUAUGGGGAUAAAGUCAAUCACGUGUGAUUGUUUGCAGGUACCAUACGAAUAAGGACCGGCUAAUUCCGUGCCAGCAGCCGCGGUAAUACGGAAGGUCCGGGCGUUAUCCGGAAUUAUUGGGUUUAAAGGGAGCGCAGGCGGGAGUAUAAGUCAGCUGUUAAAUAUCAGGGCCCAACUCUGUUAUGCAGUUGAAACUAUAUUUCUUGAGUACGCACAGGGAUGGCGGAAUUCAGGGUGUAGCGGUGAAAUGCUUAGAUAUCCUGAAGAACUCCGAUCGCGAAGGCAGCCAUCCGGAGCGUAACUGACGCUGAGGCUCGAAGGUGCGGGUAUCGAACAGGAUUAGAUACCCUGGUAGUCCGCACGGUAAACGAUGAAUACUCGCAGUUCGGCCGUUUAGGUCGAGUUGUCCAGCGAAAGCGUUAAGUAUUCCACCUGGGGAGUACGCCGGCAACGGUGAAACUCAAAGGAAUUGACG